UGGGAUACCUAGUAGAGGAGCUCAAUGUGAAGAAUUAAUGAGCUUCACAGUACCAUAUGACCUGAGCUUGGAGGGGCGCAAUGAACCAUGGGCAAAGUCAUUUUUGCUCCGUAUGCAGGCAAAAUUGGAAACAUGCAAGCAAGUUUGGGGAUCUUUGAAAAUGGAGGUCAGUGGUUGUUAUCCACAAGCAAUUGUUUUGUAAUAAUUUCCUACUAUGCCAUCCAAAACAAAUACAGAAGACAAAAUUCUUUAGCAAGUACAGGUAGUGUUAUCGGGUUUUGGAAUUUUUAACUCAAUAUGAUUAGAGUACUCAAUUAAGGUUCUUAAAUAAGUGUCAACUUUGCUGCAGUUUGGGUAAGAACUGCAUUUGAACAAGUGUAAAUGUGCACUUAAUUGAUGUACGGUGAAUUCGGCAUUGCAUCUGUUCGUGUGUAGUCUGAUGCACAAUACUCCUAUAGAGCGUAUGCAUUCUUUCACAUUGAUAUUUCCCCCAAGUAGAAUGAAAUCUCUUUGAUGUCAA